rnacentral:rRNA from 1 species
GACGAACGCUGGCGGCGUGCUUAACACAUGCAAGUCGAGCGAUGGAACACCUUCGGGUACGGAUUAGCGGCGAACGGGUGAGGAACACGUGAGGAAUCUGCCUUCCACUCUGGGAUAACUCCGGGAAACCGGGGCUAAUACCGGAUACUUUCAACUGGCGGCAUCGCCGGUUGAAGAAAGUUUUUCGGUGGAAGAUGACCUCGCGGCCUAUCAGCUUGUUGGUGAGGUAAAGGCUCACCAAGGCGACGACGGGUAGCCGGCCUGAGAGGGCGACCGGCCACACUGGGACUGAGACACGGCCCAGACUCCUACAGGAGGCAGCAGUGGGGAAUAUUGGGCAAUGGAGGAAACUCUGACCCAGCGACGCCGCGUGAGGGAUGAAGGCCUUCGGGUUGUAAACCUCUUUCAGCAGGGAAUAAGCGAAAGUGAAGGUACCUGCAGAAGAAGCACCGGCUAACUAUGUGCCAGCCGCCGCCGUAA